GUCCUACGGGGGGCAGCAGUGAGGAAUAUUGGUCAAUGGGCUUACGCCUGAACCAGCCAAGUCGCGUGAGGGAAGACUGCCCUAUGGGUUGUAAACCUCUUUUGUCGGGGAGCAAGGCCCGCCACGUGUGGCGGGAAGGAGAGUACCCGAAGAAAAAGCAUCGGCUAACUCCGUGCCAGCAGCCGCGGUAAUACGGAGGAUGCGAGCGUUAUCCGGAUUUAUUGGGUUUAAAGGGUGCGUAGGCGGAAGGUUAAG
rnacentral:rRNA from 1 species